rnacentral:lncRNA from 1 species
GGCUACAGAGAAUACACAUAAAAAUGGUGGCUUCAGAGAAGUAGCUCCUUCAUCCUCCAAACCAGAAACUUUCUGGAGGGCAGUCUGCCAGGAGCCCUCCAGCAAUAUUGCUCUGACUACUCUGAAUGGCGUGGACACAGCCUGUCUCUGCCCAUGUACCCAUCUUUGUCUGACCAUUCUACUAGCCAGUUAUUUACAGAAGCCAGAUAAACAAGUGGGUUUUUAGAUUCUGUUCUCCAUGGAUAGCUUUGAUGACAUUCAUCCAUGAGGAAGGAAAACUGUCUGACCACGAGACAAAAAUACACUGUAUAGUACUAAAGAUCUGAGCAGCACAAGACCUGAGUGACUUCCAGUGAGCAGGGGAAAAAAAAAAUCAAAUAAAAAACAUGUUUUUCACAGCAGACUUCAAACAUCCUCCGUUUUUCAGUGAAAAAGUGACCCACUUGUUUAUGGCUUUUUAAAAAGAUAUUAUUUUUUUGUGUGUUUUGCCAACAGCUGAUAAAUAUUCUUGUGGAUGAACUUUCAAAGAAAAACAUGUUUUUCAGUCUCUACCAGCCUUUAACUUCCUUGCUUUACACAAUCACAAGAGAGAGUGAGCAGUGAGGAAGGAGGGGGUAGUUGUGCCUUUUACCAUAGCUCUUUUUUUUCUUUUUUUCCUAGAUCUGCUUUUGUUUACAGACGUAAGACAAGGUAAAAUACAUUUUCCUUCAUUAAGAAAGGAAACCACAGACAGAUACUUUUUCUGCCAGCUUAAAAAAAAAUAUAUAUAUAAAUAUAUAUAUAUAUAUACACACACACUUCUGCUCCAACAGUCAAGCUGAUGACCUGCAUUUCGUUUGUAAAUAAUGUUUUAAACAUGCAAGUAUUUUCCAGAUUGACAUCUGAAUGAGUGUUUGUGAGAGCUUCUGGCUUUGGAGAGGUUGUGCAGGUGGAUGGCUGGUUUGGAAGAAAGGACUUGUUGGAUAUGAUUCCAGCUUGAAUCAGGUGUUUAGGUCAUGACCUGAACAGCAGACUG